CAUAGGUGCUGCAAACUGAACUCAGGUCCUCUGCAAGAGCUCUCUUAACUGCUGAGCAUUUCUUUACUGAAACUGAAAUUGAAGAUGUUUCUUAUGUUUCAGGAUCAUCAUUAUUUGUUCUUCAGUAGCUGUCAGGUUAGUUUGCUUUUUUUUUUCUUACCUGCUUCUUUUACUCUGGGUUCUUUUGUGACCCUCUCUCAAUCUUUAUUCUGUCAUUUCAUUUUAGUCUCAGUGUGGAUUUCUUUGCAUUUGUGUGAUUCUGAGAAUAGCUUCAAACAAAUCCAGUAGUCCAUCUUUGACUACCAGGGACACAUUGCAAGAGUCACUGUGGAUGCUGAAACCAUGAGGAAUCCUGAAAUUGAAAUGUACUACAAUUUUUUUCAUAGCAUAUGAUGAAGUUUAAUCUUUAAAUUAGGCAAGAAGCUUUUAUAAUAAUAGCUAGCUGUAGGAUAAUCCUAACAACCUGCUAUAAUAAAGUUAUGUAAAUACAGUCUUUCUCUUUCAGAAUCUUAGGCUAUAGUCAUUUUUGUUUUGAGGAUGGGAGAUGACCCAACGCCUGAACAAUGAGAUGAAGUGAGGGGAAGAUGUAGACUUUGUAACAUAGUGUUAGGUUUCCAUGUAAGUAGUCCUUGAACACAAACACUGCAAUAUCUGGGACUUACUACAUGGACCAGGUUGGCUUCUAACUCACAGAAAUUCACCUGCUUCUGCUUCCAGAGUGCUAGGAUUAAAGUGUGGCCACCACACCCAGCAUCUGUGGAUCCUUUUAAUGUUUGAAUGUGGCAAAAGACAGGGGAAUGAUGUCCUGUGUUUACAUGGCAGACAAGCAGUGAGUCUUCUCCCACAGGCCCCUUUCACAGGAACACCCAUCAUCCAUAAUGACAAAGCAUUCACAACCUAAAGGCCCUUCUUACUACAACCCGGUUCCCAAUAGGAUCACACUGGAGAUUAAAUGUUUUACCCAUGAAUGGGGCAGGAGCAUUCUAGAUUGUAACCACAGGGUAGUUGAGGAUGGGAUUAGGGGUAAAUUAAACUGCCAGAAGGCUCACAGCUUUGCCUUCCGGACCUUGAGAUUUUGAUGUAAAGUCUGAUUCUAAUAACUUUUUUUUUUUGCCAUUUUUGUUGCAUUUUACAGAGGCAGAUAUUUAGCCUCUUAUGCUUUGUUAUUUCUCCCUGUUGGUUUUUGUUUAUACAUAUCUUAAUGUCCCCCAGAGCAUUCCUUAAGAAUGGCAAUGUAUGCUCUUAACUGAUUUCAGCUUAUCACAAAUGAAUCUUAUCAUCUAUUACCUCAUAUAUAACUGAAUAAGAUUGAAAUAGAUUUUUUGCCUACACCCCACUUUUAGCUAUUUUUAUUAGAAUGUGUCAUAAACCUCAUGAUUCAGAUUUUUCUUUUAGAUUUAAAUAGCCAGAUGUCCUUUAAAUAAGUCAGACAUUGGCCUUCCUAUUCAUUGGCAUAUUUACUGCUGUUCCAGACAUUCAGUCUUUGAAUACCAUUUUUUCCCCUAAGAAACGGAAGAAAUACUAGAACUUAAAAGUAAGACCUAUUUUUUUGAAGUAUAGCAUCCCAAUAACUAAUUUUAUCAACCUUUAUGUAUGUGAAGGUGCUUAUAUUUCAUUUUCAUAUUUUGCAGAUUAUCUUUCUUAGAAUAAAUAACUUGAUUAAAAAAAAAAAACCUCUCAGCCUGUGAUAGUUUGAAUGUAAUUGUCCCCCAUAAUUUCAUAGCAAGGUGUGGUUAGUUGGAGUGGAUAUGAUCUUGUUAGCAGAAGUGUGUCACUGUGUGGGUGGGUUUUAAGGUUUCCUAUGCUCGGGAUUCUGCCCAGUGUUUUAGUCAUCUUCCUGUUGCCUGCAAGAUGUAGGACUCUCAGCUACUCUUCUAGCACCAUGUCUGUCUGCACACCACCAUGAUCCCCAAUGAUAAUGGACUGAACCUCUGAAACUCCCAAGACCAUCUGUUGUUUGUAAACAGAAACUCCAAGUAGUAAUCCCCAUUUGGAUGCUUCAGUAAAAGAGACUAAGAAGUGUUGUCCAUCUUAUUCAAGGCCAUUAUAAAAGCCACGGAUUGUUCCGAAAGUCUUCAACUUUUGGAGAAAGAUUUUGUCUAUGAUGAAGGAAUUAAAUAAUUGAGAAAAAUCUGAAAGAAAUUCUCUAUGUGAAAACUUUCAGACCCACCUUGACUCAUUUCCUGUCUGUCUGUCUGACUUGGAAGUUCCAACAUGCUCAUGGGAGUCAGAUGGGAGUCCACGAACUGAGAAUAAAAUUGAGGAUGAAAGAGACAGGAUUUAGCAAUAAAAGACCCAAAUAAACACAAGACCAAAGAUCUCUGACAAAUAAAAGCUUCCCUCACAGAGACACACAGCAUCAACUCAAAUGUUCACCAGGGAACCAAGGGUGAAGAAAUGUGGCCAGUGGACACAACAGAAUGGUGUUCAGUCAUAAAAAGGAUGACAUUCUGACAGAGCUUUUUGAUGAAGGUCUAGUCCAAUGGGAGAUAGAAGAAAGAUCUGCUCCCUUCUACCCUCUUCUAUGCUGCUUACUCAAACAGAGGGAAAGUCACCACCAGUCUGCAUUGCCUGAUAUUAGAGCGUGCUCUUACAUGAGAAAUACAAUUUCUCACAGCAAGGCAAAAUCAAAAGAUGAGACAGAAGAGCUCCCCAUGGCUGAAUCAGCUGUGGAUGGAUGUUGGAGAGGAAUGGGCACUACAGCUCUCUCAGGGCAAGCUUGGGUACACACUCUGGGACCGCUUGACUCAGAAAGAGGACUCUAGUAUCCUGCUAGCACAAGACUGCCAGGUAUGGAACCAGUGACAAAGAAAGAAGAGUAUGAACACGCGCGCGCACCCGUGCAUGCAUGUGUGCCUGUGUGUGCGUGGGCGCAUGCGCAUGCUGUAUGGGCAAGCACAGGAUAAUCCCGUGCAGCGAUCCCCCCUCCUGCUGCAGCCUAUGUGUUCAGGUGCCAUCUUGGAGGCACGUAUGAAUUAAAGUGCAACUAUUUUACUAACACGACACAGUCGCCUCUUCAUGGUCGCUAGGCCUCAUGUUAUUCUAAGUACAGAUAUGGUAAUCAUUUCUUUGACUGUUACUUGGUUAAAAGCUAAAAUCGUCUGUGGAAUUUUAAGAUUCACACGAAGAAACGUUUGCUUUUUAGCCUUUGUUGUUUUGAGUCAGGGUCUCCCUUUACAGUCCAGGCUGGCAUGCAGUGUACCAUGCAAGCUAGCUGGCCUGGCAGUCAUGGUAACCCUCUUGUCUGUGUCUUUCCAAGUUAUCAUACAAGCUUUUGAAAGGCUUUAAAUCGAAUUUAAAGCCUUUUAAAAGCCAAUUAAAUUUAAACUGCACACGAAAGAACUUGCAUGGAGGGGGCCCUGGGUCUGUCACCAACACUGCCUGUGUUCACCCAAGCACCAGUCCCCAGCACACGCAUGGAGUUCCUAUUAAAGGUAAUUAAGGGAGAUCUUCCUUAGCACAGUGUGAGAUCUUAUCACAGCUAUUUUACAUGUGGAUAAGAACCCAUCACAUUUGUAAAAUGGGGAAUAAAGCCUAUAGAUAUUAACAUAGCCCCCAUAGUUCUGAAACUUGUUAAUGACCCACUUGUAGACAAAACAGCUAGCCUUAAAGCUUUUUAGUUUAGUUUUGUUUGUUUGUUUUAUUUUUACUUUUGUUUUUCCUGUGAGAUGCUGGCCUGGGCCAUUUUUACAUUACAGAACAUUUAAAAUGCUUUAAAAUGUCUUCCAGAAGAAAUUGACUUGCUUGUAAUUUGCAAACAUGUCCCUUUAAUUUCGACAGCACGAAUGGUGCUAAGGAAAAAUGGUUGGUGGACUAAUGGUGGAUUUCUAGGACCCUAAUGAGGCUAUGACUUCUCUCACUGGAAAGACUUCCUCUCCAGGUGGAUCCUCAUGUCUGUCUGUGUGAGUCCAGCCUGGUUUGGCCCAGCAGUACCUUGAUUUAAGUAAUUUCUCCUGGUGUUUUCCCACGGUAUAUAAAGCACCACACAGGCACUUAGUGACUCUCUGGAAAGACAAACUAAGCUCUUUUCAGUUUGUUUUUUAUUUCAGUGUUUUAUUUUUAAAGCUGAUUUUUUUCUGAGACUAUUUGUUAUCUGUGGAAUUUGAGUUUGUCUAUGCAAAGAAAUCAUUUAAAAUGGAACGAAGCAGUUAUAGUCACUUCAAGCUCUUCAUUGUGUGUGGGGGUUGAUGUUUAUAACAAAACCAAAACGUGACAUAAUCCUCUAUAAAUUGGACGGGAUUUCUGCAUUUAUUCACAGGUCUGCAUUAGUAAAGCUUUUUAUAUACCACGUUUAAAAUCCUUUCCUCGGGGAUAUGCUAAGGAUAUCGACUAGACAUAAAAUGAGUUAGAGUUUCAAAAGCGUUUAUUGAGAUUUUUAGGUUCUUCCGGAGAAAAAUAACGGGCUUUUGUGUAAUGAGAGUGUUUGUUUGUUUGCAGCAACAAAAAACUUUUGCAAAGGCGAGAUCGGUGCACUUUGCAUGCCUAAGAGGUGAGAAUUUUGCGGCUGCGCUUCUAGGCAGCAGCACCAGGAGGCGCUAAUGCACCAUAGUUCGUUGUCGCACUGCCAGCCCAGGUGUUGCCAGCCUGCUCUGAGCUCAGCCUGCCCUGCACCUGCUCUUCAACCCAGGGCCUGACAGUGAUGGACAAACUGCAGGCGAUUUUAGGUGAUUGCUAUUAAGGGCAUAAUUCAGUUUCUUUCUGUAUCUGGGAGGGAUCUUUAUGAGGUGGGCUGAAGGAUGCUGUAGUCUGCUUUUCUUUUUGUUCUUCAUGGCAAGAAUUAGUGGCUCAUGUCUGGAAAGGAGGGAUUGAAACAACGGCUUGCAUUUGCUUGGAUUAAUCACUGGCCACGGAUAUCUUAAGAGGGUCAGGGACUUCCUGCUAUAGAUGAGGAAUUAUUAAGAACCAGAAGUAGCUAAGAGUGUGAUGGAGAGGCAACUGCAUUUCCUUUGAAAACGAUGAAAAUUGAAGAUUGUGAGAUCAAAUGAUCACAAUAAUUAUAAGGUUUGAUUCCAUUUAUUUAUUUAUUUAAUAGGAAAAGUAAAUAUUCUUGUAUUAAGUCACUUCUCAGAACAUGAAAUGCUAGGUGGUUUAGAUAAAAAAAAAUGUCCAGUGGGGGGAAAAUAAUGAAUAGACUUAAUUCCAUAAUUGCAUUUCAUCAGAUUGAUAUAAGAUUCAUCACUUUAAGUAAGGCAACAAAAGCAAAGUAUAUUUGUCUUGUAAGUGGUGUAAAAACCUUCACAUAGCAUCAAAAAUACGGUACCCUUAUUUUGUUUAUGACAUUUAUGGGGACCUGUCUGUCCCCAGGGAUAUAUUGGUUGAGCAUGGCAGCCAUUGAACAUGGAUGCUGAUGGGCUGUGCCAGGGCUGAGGUAAAACCCAUUCUGCUCUUUGGGUUAUCUUGAACUCUGAACCAAGUUAUUUCUCAAUGAAAAACACCUGAUAUCAGUAAUGGAGGCGGCCUCAGGAUCGUUAAUUCGUUGUAUGGAGUACUGAGAUACGAGCAUCCUUUUCUCUCCCUAUCUUCCUUCUAUUCUUUCUUUGCUUUUCACUUCCUCCAUGCCAGAACUACAAGCAUGUGCCAUAAUGCCUAUCAUGAAUCUUUAAAAUAGAACUGUGCCUGCCAGCCUGGACUGUAACCCUGUGGAACUCUGACCCCAGUACAUGUUUUCUUUUAACAGUCAUCUAGAUAAUUAAAGUUAUAGUUUUUCUUAGUUAUGAUAAAAGAUAAAUUAGAUAUAAAACUUGAAACUCACCAAGAUAAGUUAGAUUUUCUCUAACUUUGUCAAAUACAAAUAGACUUGAUAUUGUAAUUGUAGUUCUUACUUGCUGUUUUGUUGUACAUAAUUUUAUUAUGUUAAAGUUAAAAAACCUUCCUUUUUGACUAGACAGAAAAGGGGAAAUGCUGUAGGAUAAUCCUUCUGUAUACUGUGAAUAUGCACUAAUCUCAUUGGUUGAUAAUAAAGCUGAUUUGGUUUACUUAAGAUAAAUAAAACUAGUCAUCAUUGAGAUAUCUCAUCACUGCAAUAGAAAAGUAGCCAAGGCAUUCAAUAAUAUUUAUGUUCUAGAAUUUAGUGUGUGUGUGUGUGUGUGUGUGUGUGUGUGUGUGUGUAUGUGUGUGUGAAUUUCUGUAUUCACCUCUGUGUGGGGCAUAUGUGUGCAUUCUUGGUAUUAAUGCAUUUGGAAGCCAGAGGCCAAUAUUGAUAUCUUUUUUUACUUACUCACUCCUCACCUCAUUUUUUGAGAUGAGUCUUUCACCAAAUCUGUAGCAUGCCGGUUUGGCUAUAGUAGCUGGCUAGGAAGCCCCAGGGAUCUCUGUUUCUGCUUUCUCAGCACUGGGAUUACAAACAUGACCUCUGCACCCAGUUGUUUUAUGUGGUUUCUGUGGAUUGUAUGUCCCAUGCUUACAAGGGAAUAUAUUUAUUAAAGACUAAGCCAAUUUAGUUUGUAAGCCCCCCAAUUUUGAAUAUUUACUAAGCCUUUGGCUUUAUAUUUGUAAUGUUGGAAUUUAUGUGUCUAUUACUGAUUAGGAAACUAUACCUUAUUAUUAAAUAUUUAUCUUGUUUCU